rnacentral:rRNA from 1 species
GACGAACGCUGGCGGCGUGCUUAACACAUGCAAGUCGAGCGGUAAGGCCCUUUCGGGGGUACACGAGCGGCGAACGGGUGAGUAACACGUGGGUGACCUGCCCUCAGCUCUGGGAUAAGCCUGGGAAACCGGGUCUAAUACUGGAUAUGACUCCAUGACGCAUGUUGUGGGGUGGAAAGCCUUGUGCGGCUGAGGAUGGGCCCGCGGCCUAUCAGCUUGUUGGUGGGGUGAUGGCCUACCAAGGCGACGACGGGUAGCCGGCCUGAGAGGGCGACCGGCC